rnacentral:rRNA from 1 species
GACGAACGCUGGCGGCGUGCUUAACACAUGCAAGUCGAGCGGUAAGGCCCUUUCGGGGGUACACGAGCGGCGAACGGGUGAGUAACACGUGGGUGACCUGCCCUCAGCUCUGGGAUAAGCCUGGGAAACUGGGUCUAAUACCGGAUAUGACUUCGCAUCGCAUGGUGUGGGGUGGAAAGUUUUUCGGCUGGGGAUGGGCCCGCGGCCUAUCAGCUUGUUGGUGGGGUGAUGGCCUACCAAGGCGACGACGGGUAGCCGGCCUGAGAGGGCGACCGGCCACACUGGGACUGAGACACGGCCCAGACUCCUACGGGAGGGCAGCAGUGGGGAAUAUUGCGCAAUGGGCGGAAGCCUGACGCAGCGACGCCGCGUGGGGAUGACGGCC